rnacentral:rRNA from 1 species
UGCUUUACACAUGCAAGUCGAACGGCAGCACGAGAAAGCUUGCUUUCUUGGUGGCGAGUGGCGAACGGGUGAGUAAUAUAUCGGAACGUGCCCAGUAGCGGGGGAUAACUGGCCGAAAGGUCAGCUAAUACCGCAUACGCCCUACGGGGGAAAGGGGGGGAUCGCAAGACCUCUCACUAUUGGAGCGGCCGAUAUCAGAUUAGCUAGUUGGUGGGAUAAAAGCUUACCAAGCCGACGAUCUGUAGCUGGUCUGAGAGGACGACCAGCCACACUGGGACUGAGACACGGCCCAGACUCCUACGGGAGGCAGCAGUGGGGAAUUUUGGACAAUGGGCGAAAGCCUGAUCCAGCCAUGCCGCGUGCAGGAUGAAGGCCUUCGGGUUGUAAACUGC